AGCGAACGCUGGCGGCAGGCUUAACACAUGCAAGUCGAACGGAUCCUUCGGGAUUAGUGGCGGACGGGUGAGUAACACGUGGGAACGUGCCUUUUGGUUCGGAACAACACAGGGAAACUUGUGCUAAUACCGGAUGUGCCCUUCGGGGAAAGGAUUUAUCGCCAUUAGAGCGGCCCGCGUCUGAUUAGCUAGUUGGUGAGGUAAAGGCUCACCAAGGCUACGAUCAGUAGCUGGCUGAGAGGAUGAUCAGCCACACUGGGACUGAGACACGGCCCAGACUCCUACGGGAGGCAGCAGUGGGGAAUCUUGCGCAAUGGGGGAAACCCUGACGCAGCCAUGCCGCGUGAAUGAUGAAGGUCUUAGGAUU
rnacentral:rRNA from 1 species